GAUGAACGCUGGCGGCGUGCCUAAUACAUGCAAGUCGAGCGAACAGACGAGGAGCUUGCUCCUCUGACGUUAGCGGCGGACGGGUGAGUAACACGUGGAUAACCUACCUAUAAGACUGGGAUAACUUCGGGAAACCGGAGCUAAUACCGGAUAAUAUAUUGAACCGCAUGGUUCAAUAGUGAAAGACGGUUUUGCUGUCACUUAUAGAUGGAUCCGCGCCGCAUUAGCUAGUUGGUAAGGUAACGGCUUACCAAGGCAACGAUGCGUAGCCGACCUGAGAGGGUGAUCGGCCACACUGGAACUGAGACACGGUCCAGACUCCUACGGGAGGCAGCAGUAGGGAAUCUUCCGCAGUGGGCGAAAGCUUGACGGAGCAACGCCGCGUGAGUGAUGAAGGUCUUCGGAUCGUAAAACUCUGUUAUUAGGGAAGAACAAAUGUGUAAGUACUAUGCACGUCUUGACGGUACCUAAUCAGAAAGCCACGGCUAACUACGUG
rnacentral:rRNA from 1 species